GACGAACGCUGGCGGCGUGCUUAACACAUGCAAGUCGAACGAAGAGCGAUGGAAGCUUGCUUCUAUCAAUCUUAGUGGCGAACGGGUGAGUAACGCGUAAUCAACCUGCCCUUCAGAGGGGGACAACAGUUGGAAACGACUGCUAAUACCGCAUACGAUCUAAUCUCGGCAUCGAGGAUAGAUGAAAGGUGGCCUCUACAUGUAAGCUAUAACUGAAGGAGGGGAUUGCGUCUGAUUAGCUAGAUGGUGGGGGAACGGCCCACAAAGGCGAUGAACAGUAGCCGGUCUGAGAGGAUGAGCGGCCACAUUGGGACUGAAGCACGACUCAGACUCCUACGGGAGGCAGCAGUGGGGAAUCUUCCGCAGUGGACGAAAGUCUGACGAAGCAACGCCGCGUGAGUGAUGACGGCCUUCGGGUUGUAAAGCUCUGUUAAUCGGGACGAAAGGCCUUCUUGCGAAUAGUGAGAAGGAUUGACGGUACCGGAAUAGAAAGCCACGGCUAACUACGUG
rnacentral:rRNA from 1 species